rnacentral:tRNA from 1 species
AUUUCUUAUAGUGUAAGAUAACACGUUAGUUUUUCGUACUAAAAAUGGCGUAGUGUCUAAGGGAUUC